GGCCGGAUAGCUCAGUUGGUAGAGCACAGGACUGAAAAUCCUGGUGUCACCAGUUCGAACCUGGUUCCGGCCACCA
rnacentral:tRNA from 1 species